rnacentral:misc_RNA from 1 species
AGUUGAUGAUUAUUGGAGAAUUGUGGAGAUUCUGCACAAGAGGUUUUUGAGAUUUGAAAGAAAAAAGUGGAGAAUUUCUUACAAUUCUCUCGUUGUGCUUGAACACUUGUUGACUCAUGGGCCUGAGAGUGUGGCAGGGGAAUUUCAGACUGAUAAAGAUGUUAUCAGGGAGAUGGAAAGCUUUCAAUAUAUAGAUGAGAAGGGAUUCAACUGGGGGCUUGCUGUUAGAAAGAAAUCAGAAAGAAUAGUGAACCUGCUUGAGAAAGAACCUCUUCUUAAAGAAGAGAGGGAGAGGGCUAGGAAGCUGACUAGAGGAAUACAAGGAUUUGGUAGCUUCUGCCACAGGUCUUCUUCAGCACAAGGAAUUCUACGGGAACCAUCACAUGAAACAUUUGCAAGAAGCAAUUCACAGUUUAACCAGCAUGAUUCUAGUGAAAAUCAGCAUUUGUUCUCAAAUGGAGAAAAUUUGAUAAAAAAAGAUGAAACGUCCAAGAGAAGCUCUGAGGAUGCAACUUCUGAGUUGGGCAACAGAAGUCAGAAUUUGAAUUCUGCUGAUAAUUUCAGCAAAAACUGGAUGCUUGAGAAGGCUGAAACAAGUUUCAAAGAGAACAUGGCUCCUAACAAGGAAGAGUUACAUGGAUGGAAUCUCAUAGGGGAGAAUAAUCCACUCUUUGAUGGCAGAAGAGAUGAACCAAAGAUCAUAGAAGAAGAUCAUCCUUUUAGUGUUACCGAGAAGGAAACUAGUGCUUCCCUUCUUUCAGCAAGAGAAGGAAUCCUACAAGGAGUAUAGAAUUUUCACUGAAGCAGAUGCUGCGUCUGCAAAAUUCUCAAUAGUAUGUUAUCAGUUGCCAAGAUUUGUUGUUCUUAUCAUCAUGUGUUGCAGGAUUGAUAAUAUUUGUCCUCCACAGAAGAAUCAGGUAGCAUUUGAGUCAUGCUGUGCUAAUGUAUACCAUAUGUUUGUUUAGCACUAUAUCAAUCUCCCAUCAAAACUUUUAUGAUUGAGAAAGUCCUGUUUCAAAAUUAGCGUUUUAUGAGUGCUUUGACCAUUGUGUGUGGGGAUGUUGUAGGCAACGCAAAACAGAAGGAUUGCAAGGCCAGAAGGGUUUGAUUCAAGGAUUUGCAUUGCCUACAACAUCCACACAAUGGUUCAAAGCAUUCAUAAAAGGCAAAUGAUUCCUAGCACAUAGACGAAGAAGUAAAUGACUAAAAAAUCCUCGUACAAAAUGUUACAAAAAUCACUUAUCUGUUAUGCAUUUUAUUUACAAAGAUGCAGCAGGGACGGCAUAUAAUUCACAUCUGUACAUGAUUACAACACGAAAUACUACAUUCAUGAAUCAAUGGGAUUUUAAGAUUUGCAUAGCCAGUCUUGAAUUGCAAGACGCAGCCCAUGGUUGGGAAUAAGAUGCAAGUGACUCAACUUCAAAUUAGUCAUUGGAGAUGUUUCCCGGCCAUUUUCCAACCAUCCACGUAUGGCUUCACCUUCAUAUGUGAAACCAUCAGCUGCCAACUGGGGAUCAUGCAUUAUUUCCUGAAAGAAUUCAUUAGAUGUGUAAGCCACAUGGUGUAAAAUAUGUCACCAUUACUGCUAAUACAGAAAACCAGGCCACGACACUUUUGCUCCAUGGUAAUCACAGUAAGCAUUGCACCUUGGCAGGCCAAGAUAAUUUAUCCUCGAUACAGGUCAAAGAAUCUAUAAUCAAAGCCUAACCAUGCCAAGCCUUUCACAGAUAGUGAUUAAGAAAGUGAUAAAAUUAAGCAGAGUGAGGAAAAAUAUCUGCGCUUGCAAAUCUGUUGUGCGCAAAUGGUACAAUCAAGUUAUACUCGAUUUCAUUAUACAAAUUUGUGUCAUCUACAUACCUGAAGAAUAGGACACAAGAAGAAAGAUGGCACUAGCCGCUCUUCUGAAACAUGCAACUGCUCCAAUUCCCUCACUAGAGCAGGUGUCAACUCAGGUCUCUCCCUGCUACACAAUUCACAAAACUGCAGACCCAAUUCCGCCAAUCUUUUCGCAACAAAUAUUGGCCAUUCUCCAGCAGAAGGAUCCAAAAUUGAGGAUAAUUUCCCACAUGACAUUGUUCUUCGCACCUCACCUACCAACCCAACAGGAGGCCUUCCAGUAAGUAGCUGUAGAAUGAUGACCCCAAAAGAAUAGAUAUCAGACUUGGUUGUCAGCACUCCCACUCUUUGGAACGCUGGAUCCAUAUAUGAAAAAGCACCUUUUGGCUCAGUGCCCCUUCGAAAACUAGGGCAAUAAAGAGUAUCAUCCGUUACCAGCCUGCAAAUUCCAAACUCACAUAUUUUGCAGCUAAGUUCAGAAUCAAGUAGGAUAUUUUGUGGUUUCAGAUCACCAUGGACAAUUUUUUCAGGUUUAGAAGAAUGCAAGAAGCAAAGUGCACUUGAGAUUUCAGCUAUAAUCCGUGCUCGGACUUUCCAUGUCAAGGGAGAAAUGUUGUUCUUCCUGAAGAGGCAAUCCUGGAGGCUCCCAUUGGGCAAGUACUCGUAUACAAGAGACCAUGCUUCUGGGCAUGCCCCAAGCAAAGUCACCAGAUGAGGAUGUUGUAAUUUGCCAAGAACUUGAACCUGCAUCAACAAAUAAUUGAGGUCACUUUAGAUAUACCAUGGGAGAUAAGGGGUAGUAGGCAAUCUAUUCAAAGAAAAACAUUUUUUGGAUAAGUUUUUAAAAGCCAUACCUGGAGAUUUUAUCACAGGGUAGUUGGACCCUGAAGUGCAGCUAAGAUUGUGAGCAAUACAAAUAAUUGCUACCAGCAGUUUGAUAUGGGUACUCAAAUAUUCCUAAAGUUGUCAAAGUUACCUAAACACUAGUCUUGUAUACCAAAGCUUUGAUACUUGUUCCAGUACUUAAGAAACUAAACUAUACAGAUCAUCUCCAAAUAAUUGUCAAACACACAGGGAUACUGAAAGUGCGCAUGUAGACCAAGUGGUGGCGAGUACUUUUCUAGUCAUGGCUACAACCAGACCAGUGUUAACUGCCAGGAUGGCUAAGAUAUUCACAAAUGAGUAACAGAAUAGGUAUACACUACAGGGUCCAACAAGCACUUGUUAUAGUACAAAAAGAAAAAAAAAAUCAAAAGGAGUACCUUCUUCUUCCUCGAAAUCUUCCAGGAAACCUCAAGCUCUUGAAACAAUUGUUAUGCUAUUUAGAUUUUAAGAAAGAAAGCAGAGCAGCUGACCUCUUUUUGAAACUCUGACUGCCCUUGCAUGUUAUUUGGAUGCAGCUUCUUUAUGGCAACAGUUCUACCCAACAUUUCUCCUUUGUAAACAUAACCAUAUCCUCCCUGCCCAAGUUUGAAGCUUUCAGAGAAAUUGAAUGUUGCAGUUUGCAAAUCAGAUAAUGAAAAUUCUGCUAACUUGGGCAUAUCUUCAACAAAACCAAGCAGCCCAUUACAGUUUGGAGCUCCAGCUUGCCUGUGAUUUUUCCAUCGCUCAAGCCAAUGUGCAGCUUCUAUUUUCUGCCGUCGGAUCCUCUGCUUUUCUUGCCAUAGAGAUGCAAUGGAAGUUUGAAUGAGUUUCAAUUCUCCAUCAACUUCAUCCCGCCUACGAUUUGCUUCUCGUACACGACUGUCCAGAAGAGCAACAUUUCUCAUGGUCCUCUGUAGCUCUUUAGUUACUUCAUCUUUCUCUUCCAAGAAUUUUUCUUGUUCCUCUAUUGUAUGUCUUAGUGCAUUCUCAGCUUCUUUUCUAUGUUUAACUUCAUUUGCAUAGGCAGAAUCAAAGAUUUUGACCUUGCUGAUGGCUUCCAAAGUUUGGAAUUCCAAUUUUUUGCGCUUCACCAGUUCUUCAAAUGCUUCAUUCCUAGAUGCUUCUGCUUCUAUCCUUGCUUCUUCCAGCUGAAAAUAUAAGCUGUCUUCCUCAAGCUUUGAAUCAGACUCUGAAGACAUUCUUCUUUCUGUAGAUGUGCCAGAGCUACUACUUCUAGGACUAAAUGAACUCUGGAUAGAGUGGGUAAAACAUGUAUUGGUAGAACCAGAUCUAGCCACUUUUGCAUAGGUUGAGUCACUUUGAACCCAAUGGCUAAUUCGGUCACAAGUUACACCUGUAGCAGAAGUGGACCUAAGAUAUUCUGGAUGGAAUGGCAAUGCAUUCUUGCUACACCGAAGUGACAUAGACCUUAAAGUUUCUGUACUCGCACCCCCUGCACGAUCACAUGAUGGUAAAAGACUUGAAUUUUCAGAAGCUUCUCUUGUCCACACAUGUUUCCCUUUGUUGAUAAACCAUAUUUCACAGAAUAAAGGAGCACUUUUAGCAACAUAAUUAGCUUUGUUGGAACUCUUUUUCACCUUCAUGCAAUUUUCAGGUGCAACCCCCAUAACAAGCAUCCUAGCACCAUGUCUGUUUACCAAUUCUACUAUUCCCUUCCGAACUUGGUCACAAUCAGUUGUGAUGAUACUAGCUUCAACCUUAGCUUUAUGACAAACGGCCAAGUAAAUUUCUAAAAGCUUCUUUGACUGUUCCCGUUCUUGCCUUCUAUGUGCUGAAACUACUUCAGCAUUUGCUUGACUUGCUGGUAGUUUUCCCAGUAGAGUUGGUAUCAGAGGAGAGGGCUGGUGAACAUAAAGGAUACAAAUUUCUCUGCUCCCAAAGCGUUUAAAGCUCCAGUGAAGCAAACCUACAGUUUUCUCAAUAGAUUUACCCACAGCCACAUACACUUUCUCACCAUCACCACUACCACCGCUACCACUAAGACACCCACCUUCUUCAACAAUAUCUGGCAACUGGGAACUAACAGUCCGGUCAAACCCAACCAGGAAAGCUCCCGGAGAAGACAACCCAGAAAGGGAUUCCCGGGAGGGGUCAUGAAGAGGCGGGUGUGCGGGAUUCAGAAGCUCCAUAAUUGGAGGAAAGACACAGAGGGUUUGGAGAGCGAUGGCAGCUAAUAGCUUUGGAUUGGCAACUAUGAAUGAUAUUUUGGCUUUUGUUUGUGUUGUGCGCUUGCAAUAUUCUUCAUAAAUUGCAAGAAAGUAUCAGAAUUUGUUUGAAAAUGAAAAUUUUCUUUUCUUUUCUCUCGCUUUUUUUAGUGCUUGUUUCGAAGAAAAUUGAAGAGGAGAGGCCGUCGAGCGCUUGACUUUUUAGGUUGACUUACAAG